CAAUAGCGUAUAUUAACGUUGUUGCAGUUAAAAAGCUCGUAGUUGGAUUUCUGGAGGGAGCGUCGGCCCGUAUUUACGAGUGCGUGACGUCUCUGUCCAUCCUUGCGGGAAGGCACGGCAUUGAUUUGUUGUGUCGGAUCGCAUCAUUUACUGUGAAAAAAUUAGAGUGUUCAAAGCAGGCUUUCGCUUGAAUACAUUAGCAUGGAAUAAUAAGAUAGGACUUUGGUGCUAUUUUGUUGGUUGAGCCUAAAGUAAUGAUUAAUAGGGAUAGUUGGGGGCACCUAUAUUGCGUUGUCAGAGGUGAAAUUCUUGGAUUUACGCAAGACAAACAGCUGCGAAAGCGUCUGCCAAGGAUGUUUUCAUUAA
rnacentral:rRNA from 1 species